UUUCAUCAUGGCGUCUCGUGUGACAGACGGUCCUGUGGUCUGUCGUGGCGGUAGAUCGCAACUUGAAGCAAAUGGCGUUGCGGUUUGUAAUGACGGGACUACUGUAAUUUCAUUGGUUGAAAUACUAUUGUGAUUCAUAUUGAAUUGUACAUGCAUUCUACGAAUGUCUGUAACAUCGGUUGCAUAUUGAGUUUUUGUUAACUCUUAAAUGAAUGUUCCUUCAAAAUAAAAUUUGUAAAAAUUUUAAUUUUUGUGUAUGUAAAUUAUUCUUAUUUAUUAAAAAAUGGUUCUUUUGUCAGAUUACACAGGCCAACAUGGUAAAUGAAAUGCGGGCAGUUCAGCUACUUAUUGGCGGAAAUGGUCGUGGAGUGUUUUUGCCGACGAAGUUUCAGCAUAAAUGUUAAUCAGAGUUAAAUGGCAUCUUGACAUCUUCUGUAUGAUGAAGACGUGCUCUAUGGCCAUUGCUCCUUAAUGGGUAUAUAUGACUUCUGGCAGUACUGGCUCACUGAAAGCAACGUUAUUGGUGCCUUGUGGAUGAAGUGAGGUGGAGUGUGAAACUGCACCAGCAUCAUGUACAUCUACAAGCACAAAUAUUCUCCAGUUUGUGGAUCGUUUAUUGAUGGCUAUAGGAUUUUUGUCACAUUUUUUCCAGUGAAUCGUGUGAGAGGCAGGGUUUUGUAAUGAUCCCAUGGAUUCUAAUGCAGGAAGCCAUAAUUUCUGUGAAAACUGGUGGAUGCUCAUUGAAUUCUGUAAGGAAACACACAUGGUCCUGUUGAUUGGCUAUUUAAGAAGAAUGAGGUAAUGAAAACAGCAGCUUGUAGCUCAGAUAAAAUUUACUCUGUGAUUGAAUGUUGGUUGCAAGGGCAAUGUUGCUGGCUGGUACACAGCAUGCCAUGUGUCAAUGCAUUUAAUGUAAACCUGUUUGACUCCUUAUUCUCUGCACUUUGUAAUGUGUUUUGCCUGACAAGGUUUUUCAUGUCUCUAAAAUGGUGACACAGUGAGUGCACAAAGCACGAGAAAAAACUGAAAUUGGCAGAUAAGUGGUCCUUUCCAUUCAACUUGCUGAAACAUCAAUCAGUUAUUUUAAUCGGUGCAUAGAAGUUAUACUUCUUUAAAGCUGGAGUAUUUGUUAAUGUAACAACAAUAAAUAUUUAUUUCGAUAAUUUCCUCCACAAGUUUUUAUUGUCUUUAUUUCUAAUUUUCCCGCUGUAUUUGAAAAAUUUUGAAUUGACUUUCAUACUUGUGAACUGGCUUUUAUUGCAUAGUUUUUGUGAAUCACUCAUUCAU